CACUAGGUUCUAUUCAGAACUAUUUAACAUAUAGAAAUCUAUAAUAU
rfam:Lottia gigantea unplaced genomic scaffold LOTGIsca_8, whole genome shotgun sequence.